AUACUUACCUGGCAGGGGAGAUACAAUGAUCGCGAAGGUGAUUUCCCCAGGGCAAAGUUCACCCAUUGCACUCCAGGUGUGCUGACCACUAUGAUUUCCCUAAAUGUGGAAACUCAACUGCAUAAUUGUGGUAGUGGGGGUCUGCAUUUGCGCUCUCCCUUG